AGCUCUCAGGGGCCCCGCCCUGGGUAACACACGUCUGCGGUGUUACCCACGACUGCCUGGGACCUGGCCAAGGGCUCCACACACCAAGACCAAGGCAGCAGGAAGGAGAAAGGAGGGAAGGUAAAAGACUACUGAAAAGCUUUCAGCUGGGGCUGGGCAUGGAGGCUCACACCUGUAAUCCCAACACUUUGGGAAGCCGAGGCUGGUGGAUCACUUGAGCCCAGGAGUCUGAGACCAGCCUGGCCAACAUGGCAAAACCCUGUCGCUACAAAAAAUACAAGAAUUAGCCAUGUGCACCUGUGGUCCCAGCUCCCAGGGCCGGGAGCCUGAAACCAAGGUGUCCACAGGGCCCUGCUGCCCCCAGAGGCUCUGGGCAGAGCCCUUCCGCCUUUCCAGCUCCCCCUGGUUCCCGUGCUCCUCGGCCUGUGGCCCCAUCACUCUGGCCUCUGCCUUCAUCUCAUGCCGAGAUCCCUGAAGCGGGCCCAGCUCCGUUCACUGCUCCCCCGGCCUCCUGCUGUUUCCCACACGCAGCCAUGGUACAGGGCAGCUCAUCCCACCACCUCCCCAACCGCAGCCUCCAGGGAUGUACACCCUGCCUCAGGGGCUGUGCCUGGGCCCUGGCUGGUGGAGGGCACAGCCGUCAGGGAAGGCCCUCAGCUGCAGGAUGCCGUGCCUCAGAGACCAACCAGGCCCUCGAAGGCACUGUGGCCGGCCCAGAUGUCAGCAGCUCCAGCAAUUAGGCUGGGACAGAUGGUGCCUGGUGACACAAGGGGACUGUGGGGGCCACAGGGGACCCUGCUCACCUGGACCUACCGUGGAGGCCAGGGAGGGAGAUGGACUCGAAGGGCGGAAGGGCCCAGAGAAGGCACAUUUGCAGAGCAGCGGCCGCAUUUCCAGAGCUCGGGAGCCCAACAGGAAUCCCGUCUGGCCAUGGGACCACCGCCCUUGGGGCUGGGGGAUGCCGCAGGGGACGGCAGAGGGCAGACAGGCCAGGAAAAGGGGAGGGCAGAGGGCAGACAGGCCAGGAAGAGCGCCUGCAAGUGCCCAAGGAAGGGACCAAACCCAGGCCCCUGGACCAGAGCGGCCGCCUGGUGGGGCAGGCUGGAAGGGGCCAAGGCCAGCGCCAAGGGGGAGCAGGUGAGGGACCCUGGUGGGCAUCUGUGGGAACAAGGCCACGUUUCUCCCUGCGCACGCUUUAAUCAAGGACAUUCCUGUGGUUCUCCAAAAGUGUCGCACACUACAUGGGUGUCGUGAGCUGGGCUCCGUGAGAGUGUGCGGGUGGCUGGGGGCAGCAAGGGAGCAGCAAGGCCUCAAACCCGGGCGGCGGCCUGGCCUGCGCGCCAGGAUGUGCGGUGUGAGUUUCCCGAGCUGCAGGAACAAGGUCCACAGACUGGGGAGCUUCACACAACAGAAACUGCCUCGCAGUUCCCGAGGCCAGAGCCCAUCGGGGUGGCUCCCUGAGGCCGUGAGCCCGGACUGUCCUGGGCCGCCCCCUCUUCCACAGGCUGAGAUCAUCCUUGGCGUCUGUUGGCCUGCGGCCGCCUCGCCCAACCUCUGCCCUCAUGUCCACACGGGUCCUCCCUGUGUGCAUGUUGGUGUCUGGAUCUGCCCUUUCUACUGUGGGGCAACUGUCGUCGAGGAUAGGGCCCACCACACAACACGGCCUCAUCGUAACUAAGUAUAGUCAGCAGUGAUCCUAUUUCCCAAUAAGGUCCCAUUCUGAGGUCCUGGACUUCAACAUGUGAAUUUUGGGGGCCACAACUCUACCCUGGCAUGCAGAGAGAGAAGGGGGGCGUGGAGUCCCCCUGGGGGGAAGUCCCUUGGGAAGUCACAGGCCCCCUUGGUGGGGCAAUUGGGACGUGGGUGUGAGGGUCCUGGGUACAGGGAGCCUGCCUACCAAGGCUCUGCCGACAGCUAUUUCUAAAUUCCUCGUGGAAAAUACCCUGUGGCCCUCCUCAUCUGGAGCGAGCGACGGGCUGGAGGGUGUCUGAGCCAGGCUGGUGCCGGGGAGCAGAUGUGGGUGGCCCAACCCAGCCCCUUGUUCUUGUUCCCC
ensembl:lncRNA LINC00482 long intergenic non-protein coding RNA 482